rnacentral:lncRNA from 1 species
UAAGACAACCACUAAGGCAGCGCCGGCGAAGGCACCGGCCAAAGCAAGGGCUGCUUCCAAGGCGAAGCCCAAGGCAGCAACGGCUGCCGCCAAGCCGAAGGCAGGAGCUGCUUCGAAGGCGAAAGCUGCUGCCGCUACUAAGCCUAAGGCUGCUGCCAAGCCGAAAGCUGCUGCUGCGGCUAAGACGAAGGCAGUAGCUAAACCGAAGCCGAAGGAGAAGCCGGCGAAGGUUGCGAGGACGUCUACAAGGACUUCUCCAGGGAAGAAGGCACCGGCGGCAGUAAAGCCGGCGGCGAAGAAGGCUCCAGCGAC